rnacentral:tRNA from 1 species
GCCCGAGAACGGCCACACAAGACUUAAAAUCUUGAGAUCGUAAGAUCGUGCGGGUUCAAGUCCCGCUCCCGGCACCA